rnacentral:rRNA from 1 species
CCGCGUAUGAAAGUACGUUUCACCCUCGGGUGACAGGGAGACAGGUGCUGCAUGGCUGUCGUCAGCUCGUGUCGUGAGGAUGUUGGGUUAAGUCCCGCAACGAGCGCAACCCUUAUCUUUAAUUGCCAGCAUUCAGUUGGGCACUUUAAAGAGACUGCCGGUGUUAAACCGGAGGAAGGUGGGAUGACGUCAAGUCCUCAUGGCCUUUAUGCUUAGGGCUACACACGUGCUACAAUGGGUGGUACAAAGAGAAGCCAACUCGCGAGAGCGCGCCAAUCUCAAAAAGCCAUCCUCAGUUCGGAUUGGAGUCUGCAACUCGACUCCAUGAAGUUGGAAUCGCUAGUAAUCGCAGAUCAGCAUGCUGCGGUGAAUACGUUCCCGGGUCCU